rnacentral:misc_RNA from 1 species
CCAAUAUUAAACCCAGACUCCGUCUUCUUCAUCUUUAGAUUACAAGUCGCAGAACCUACACCAAAUCACCAACCAAAGCAAGAAUCAUGGCGGUUGAGGCAACCCAUCAGGAGUAUAAUCAUUUGGAAGAGGUGAAACGAUUCGAUGAUUCUAAAAUCGGAGUUAAAGGCCUGGUUGACUCUGGCCUCACCUCCAUUCCCCGCAUGUUUAUCCACCCAACCGGAGCGCUAUCCGAUCUUAAAUCCGUUCCAAAAUCCGAAUCCCAAGUCAUCCCCACCAUUGACCUUUCAGGCGUUGAUUCAGACAGGAGGCGGGCGAUUGUGGAGCAGGUUUCACAUGCCUGUCGGAAACUUGGAUUUUUUCAGAUCGUGAAUCAUGGGGUGCCGCUGGAAGUUAUGAACCGGACGAUUGAGGCGGUCAAGGCGUUUCAUGAGCUGCCGACGGAGUUCAAGAAGCAGUGGUACCGGAGGGAGAUGGGUACUGGAGUAUCUUUCAUUUCCAACGUUGACUUGUAUAACGCUAAAGCUGCGAGCUGGAGGGAUACACUUCAGGUGAGAUUGGGUCCUGUCCCAGCAGAGGUUGAGGGCAUCCCUGAAAUUUGUAGGAACGAGUUACUUGAGUGGAACCAACAGGCUACACGAGUUGCAGAGAUGUUGAUGGAGUUGCUGUGCGAAGGGCUGGGAUUGAAGCCAAGAAGAUUGAAGGAGAUGACUUUUUUGGAAGCCAAGACACUUGUGGGCCAUUACUAUCCACACUGCCCUCAACCUGAUCUCACCUUUGGAAUUACAUCGCAUACUGAUCCUGGGGUUUUGACAGUACUGCUUCAGGACCAUAUUGGAGGCUUGGAGGUUAAGGACGGUGAGGGUUGGGUUGAAGUCAAACCUCUCCCUGGAGCUCUUGUUAUUAACAUUGGAGAUAUACUUCAGGUAGAAUUAUAUCAAAGUGAAUGCCUGACUUGAAAUUCUAUUUUACAGUCUGAAAUCUUUGUUGAAAUAUUGUCUGUGUUCCUCAGAUCCUUUCCAAUGAUGAAUACAAAAGCGUAGAUCAUAGAGUGUUGGCUAAUCCUUCACCCGAUCCACGAGUUUCCACCGCAAUUUUCUUCAACGCUGGUAACAGAGUCUGCUUGUAUGGACCCUUUCCAGAGCUAGUGUCACCCGAAAAACCAGCUCUUUACCGGCAGUUUAUGCUCAAUGAUUACAUGAGAAGGUUCUUCACAAAAGAUUUGGCAGACAAGACUUUGACAGAUUACUAUAGGAUUUAAGUUAAAAGAAAACAGGACAGAAAAAUAGUACACUUGCGUUUAUGUUUUGUAAACAGAGACUGCAUAAAUAAAGUACAGCAAUGACAGAAAAAUAGUACAAUUGCUUUUAUGUUUUGUAAACAGAGGCUGCAUAAAUAAAGUGCAGCAAUACUUUGCGACAUUGAACAAAUAACAUCAUAAAGAUUACUUGGGUGUGC